CUUGGGGUUCGUAUCCGAUGCCUUGUUUAUUGAUUAUCCCCACAAGAUUCGGCUGCAAGUGAGAUCGUGCGCAUGAGUUGCAAGACGAGGCGGCACAAUGACUACAGGUCCCUCUGGAUUAGUUGAUUGGAAUGUAGUCAAGAAAGAGCUUCAAAAUAUUGAUGACGUGUGGAAGCAGCCUCGGUUCGACUCCUUACCACAUGUAGUUGGAGUUCUCACCUCUCGUAAUCCAGAGGUUGCUUUGGAGAAAUUACGUGAGCAAAGAGAUGCAAUUGAGGAACUCGUGGAUGAUGUUGUUCGCAUUUACCACAAUGGCUUCAACAAAGCGAUUCAUAACUACUCGCAGAUAUUGCGGCUUUUUAGUGAAUCUGCUGGAAGCAUAAAUGGAUUGAAAGACGAUUUAGGAGAGGCUCGCCGAUUACUAGGUGCUCGGCAUAAGCAGUUACAUCAGCAAUGGUGUCGCUCCGUGACUUUGCGCCACGUUAUCACCCUGCUUGAUCAAAUUGACAAAGUUGCACAGGUUCCAGCAAGGAUAGAGAAGUUGAUUUCUGAGAAGCGUUACUAUUCCGCUGUGCAACUCCACCUUCAUUCUAUUAGUAUGCUAGACCGCGAAGGCAUCCAGUCAGUAGGAGCGCUUCAAGAUGUGCGGAGUGAGUUGUCUAAGCUUCGUGGUGUGCUUUUCCAUAAAGUUGUAGAGGAUUUGCAUCUCCAUCUCUACAACAAGGGUGAAUAUAGUGUAAAUUUGGCAGCUGCACACGAUCAGGACGAUGAUAUCUCCAACAUUGCUCCUGCUGUUGUCCCAACAAGUGGAAACGUGACCAUGUCAAGGCGCACGCGAACUAUGCGGCAGAUGUGGAAAUCUGGUCUAGAUCGUGUUUUGGAAGCUAGACGAGCUGGUUCUGUUGAUGGAUCAUCAGUUGAUGGUGAUAACAUGGAGAAAAUGGAGAAAAUGAAUGGAGAAAAUGAACAGUCUGAAGCAACUAAUGGUAACCGAGGGGCGAGUAAUGGCAACGAUGAUGGUAUUUCAAAGGACGACGGAAAACUGUCUCGGGUUGCGCCAGUGUGGUUAGCUGAAUCAACCCCAAACGAAUUUACAGAAUAUCUGUUGAAGAGUGAUGCUCCUCAAGGCGUGAAAUAUCUACAGACUAUGGUGGAAUGCCUUGCAUUACUUGGCAAGAUUACUGCUGCUGGAAGCAUUAUUAGUCAAAGGUUGAGACCAACUGUACAUGACAUGAUAACUGCGGAAAUUAAAGCGCGGGCUGCUGCAAUAGAAGCUGCUAGACCACGAGUGGACGAAGUCUCUAAACUUUUAAAAGGAGGAAGUAUCGGGGUGUAUCUCUCACAGAACGGGAAGAAUGGAAGUAUUUUGAUUACCGGACAACAAGAACCAACUGUUGAACUUAUGGGAAAGGCUCAAACUGCAGCUCGAGAUCUUCUUCUGUCUAUUUUAGACCUCGUAACUCACAUUCUUGAAAACCAUGUUCUGGUCGGGGAGUUAAUGGAGGCUAAAGCUAAUGUGGGCGAUCAUGGUGGUGCUUAUGCUUCCCCGGGUAAUGGUAACUUUGCAUGGCUCAAUGAUGCAGACAUCAGUGGAGCAACUGGAGGCUAUAGCCUAGGGUUUGCACUGACUGUUAUCCAGAGUGAAUGUCAGCAGCUUAUAUGCGACAUCUUACGGGCAACACCUGAUGCUGCUUCUGCCGAUGCAGCGGUACAAACAGCUAGAUUGGCCAGCAAAGCUGAUCCUCAUGUGGCAAAGAAACGGCAUGCGGUGCACAAAAAGGAUGACGCCAGUUUAGCCCCAAAAGGGGCAUCUGAAGAGGGAUUGUCGUUUGCUUUUCGUUUCACUGACACAGUACUCAGUUUACCUGAAGCGAACGACCGUUUAAGUGGUGAGGGUUUGCGCAGUACGCGUAAUAGAAGAACCUCGAACGCCUCUCAAGAAGGUUAUGGAACAAGUGCUGUUCUUCCAGAACGUGGCAUAUAUCUUACGUCUGCCGUUUACCGUCCUAUUCUUCAGUUUACUGAUAAAGUCGUGUCUCUGCUCCCUAAGAAGUAUGCCAACCUUGGAAAUGAAGGUCUACAGAGUUUCAUUGAAAACUUCGUGAAAGAUCAGUUUCUCCCUAUUGUGUACGUGGAUUAUCGUACACGUGUGGCUGACGCUCUUGCAAGCCCAUCUGCAUUUCGACUGAAGGCUCACCCGGGGGCUGUGUAUGAGCCAGCUCUGGAGCGAGGCAGGCCUGUUUUACAUGGGCCUUUGGCAGCAAAUCAAUUGAUAACGGAAGUUCUUGGAUGGGCUCAAGCAAUGCCCAUGUACGCCGGGGAGAUUUUGGAGCUUGUUCAAACACUUCUUGAACGCACAUUAGAGCGUUGUCGGGCUGCUUACACUGAGGCAGUUCUGGGUAGUCUGAGCUCAAGCGUAAUUGGGAGACCGGAUAUCGCCAAUUUGAUGAAGCAAGAACCGGCUAAUACCUUGCUGGAUGCGGCCUAUCUCUUGCAGCUUGGUCAGAGAGUAAAUGUUGAUGGACCAUAUGACAUGGAAGGAUUAGAAGUAGAGAUGGAGCUAAACAAUCUCCUUCUCAGCUUACGACCUAUUAAGCAGGAGCAAUUGAUAACUGAUAAUCAUAAACUUGUUCUGUUAGCUGCUCUAAGUGAUUCACUGGACUUCUUGUCUGAGUCAGCGCAACAAUUAGGUCAGCGACAACCUACUACGCCAGCAUCCCCAAUGAAGAGGAAAAGCUCAGUACAUCGAGUCCAUCAUCAUCGUCGUACCAGCAGCGUACUCACUGCAGGCCUAGGCAUCUUAGCUGAGAAAUACAGUGCUUUAUCUGCUGAGUGUCUGCGAACUCUCAGAGUUGAGAUGCAAUUAGAGGCGAUAUAUCAUCUCCAGUGCAGAGCAUGGCGGGAAGAGUAUAUGUGACUGACCAAGAUGCUGAAGAACCAGAAGAUUUCAUUGUUGGUCUCACAACCCAGAUUGCUAGAAGGGAUGAGGAAAUGGCUGCCUAUGUGCCACCAUUAAAACGUAGUUACAUUUUUGGUGGUAUCUGCAGUGUGUCAGCUACAGCCUUCAUUAAGAGCUUGCAUGAGAUGAAAUCCGUGAAUAUGCUGGGAGUACGCCAAAUCUGCCGCAACUGCAUCGCACUUCAGCAGGCAUUGGCUUCACUGGCGGCAAGCAGUGGUCAAUUUCUCGAAGAGCGACUUGAUCGUGUGCGGACCUACUUCGAGUGCUUAAAUCUUCCCUUUGAGGCACUCCAUGCAUUUGUUUUAGAGCAUGACGCCCUUUUCUCUUUCUCUGAAUAUUCAGCUCUUUUGAAGGUUAAUGUUCCUGGGAGGGAUGUACCCCCUGAUGCUGUGCAACGAAUCGGGAGAAUUUUAGCUCCUGGGAAGUACUAGUUUAAUGAAAAUCAGGUUGAGGUCCCUCAGUGUUCUGAAUCAUGUUAGUCCUCACACGGUCGUUUAAGUGUUUAAUUGUCAGUGUUAAAAUUCAGUUGAUUGUUUUAAACGGAAUGUUAAGCUAUACACGUGAACAACGACUGAGCAUCAAUGGAGCGGAGACCCUGUUCUGUCUCUUCCUCUUUGAACAAUGUCUCGAAGCUUCUGUUGCUGACUUGUUCUUUGCGUUUCCUCUUAUUUAAGUACAGCCACAUUGGAGUGAAAAUAAGCCACUAAUUUCGAGGUUC